GGCGGAGGCGGGAGGAGCCCCCGGCCCGGCCCGGCGCAGGAGGCCGCGGGACCAGGUCUUUCUUCUUGAAAACCGGGGGCGCCCGACUCGCUGCCGUGUGCCUGGACAGGGAGCGGCUGAGGUGGAGGGUGAUGCUCUCCUUCACGGCGCUGCUGAAGUGCUCCUUCUGCACAGCCAGGUAAAGCCCCGCGUCCUCAGGCACUACUUUUCACGUGAAGAUGAAGAUUUGAAGAUUACUGUGACAUGACUUUUAAGUAUUUAUGCAAUAUGGUUCCCAUGAAUUUGAAACUGAGCCUUUUGCACUUGCAGAGAAAGCAGCACUGCUUUCUUUCUCAUUUACAAAGAGAUUAAACCAAGCAAUUGCAAUAAAAAAAUUAAAUUUAUGGCAGCACUGAAGCUGAUUCUGUUGC